rnacentral:rRNA from 1 species
UAGCAUAUCAAUAAGCGGAGGAAAAGAAACCAACAGGGAUGCCCCAGUAACGGCGAGUGAAGCGGCAACAGCUCAAAUUUGAAAUCUGGCCUCGGCCCGAGUUGUAAUUUGCAGAGGAUGCUUCGGGCGCGGUGCCUUCCGAGUUCCCUGGAACGGGACGCCAUAGAGGGUGAGAGCCCCGUAUGGUUGGACGCCUAGCCUGUGUGAAGCUCCUUCGACGAGUCGAGUAGUUUGGGAAUGCUGCUCAAAAUGGGAGGUAUAUCUCUUCUAAAGCUAAAUACCGGCCAGAGACCGAUAGCGCACAAGUAGAGUGAUCGAAAGAUGAAAAGCACCUUGAAAAGGGGGUUAAACAGCACGUGAAAUUGUUGAAAGGGAAGGGCCCAUGACCAGACUUGUGUCCGGCGGAUCACCCAGCGUUCUCGCUGGGGCACUCCGCCGGGUCCAGGCCAGCAUCGGUUCUCGCCGGGGGAUAAAGGCUCUGGGAACGUAGCUCCUCCGGGAGUGUUAUAGCCCUCUGCGUAAUACCCUGGCGGGGACCGAGGUACGCGCUCCGCAAGGAUGCUGGCGUAAUGGUCAUCAGCCACCCGUCUUGAAACACGGAUCAAGGAGUCGUCCAUUAGAGCGAGCGUUUGGGUGUCAAACCCGCACGCGUAAUGAAAGUGAACGUAGGUGAGAGCUUCGGCGCAUCAUCGACCGAUCCUGAUGUCCUCGGAUGGAUUUGAGUAUGAGUUUUACUGGACGGACCCGAAAGAUGGUGAACUAUGCCUGUAUAGGGUGAAGCCAGAGGAAACUCUGGUGGAGGCUCGCAGCGGUUCUGACGUGCAAAUCGAUCGUCAAAUAUGGGCAUGGGGGCGAAAGACUAAUCGAACCAUCUAGUAGCUGGUUACCGCCGAAGCU